rnacentral:rRNA from 1 species
GACGAACGCUGGCGGCGUGCUUAACACAUGCAAGUCGAACGGAAAGGCCCUGCUUUUGUGGGGUGCUCGAGUGGCGAACGGGUGAGUAACACGUGAGUAACCUGCCCUUGACUUUGGGAUAUCUUCAGGAAACUGGGGCUAAUACCGGAUAGGAGCUCCUGCUGCAUGGUGGGGGUUGGAAAGUUUCGGCGGUUGGGGAUGGACUCGCGGCUUAUCAGCUUGUUGGUGGGGUACUGGCUUACCAAGGCUUUGACGGGUAGCCGGCCUGAGAGGGUGACCGGCCACAUUGGGACUGAGAUACGGCCCAGACGCCUACGGGAGGCAGCAGUGGGGAAUAUUGCACAAUGGGCGGAAGCCUGAUGCAGCGACGCCGCGUGCGGGAUGACGGCCUUCGGGUUGUAAACCGCUUUCGCCUGUGACGAAGCGUGAGUGACGGUAAUGGGUAAAGAAGCACCGGCUAACUACGUG